UACGGAGGAUCCAAGCGUUAUCCGGAUUUAUUGGGUUUAAAGGGUGCGUAGGCGGCUUUUUAAGUCAGGGGUGAAAACUUGCGGCUCAACCGUAAGCUUGCCUUUGAUACUGAGGAGCUUGAAUACACUUGAGGUAGGCGGAAUGUGACAAGUAGCCGGUGAAAUGCAUAGAUAUGUCACAGAACACCAAUUGCGAAGGCAGCUUACUAAAGUGAGAUUGACGCUGAGGCACGAAAGCGUGGGGAGUCAAACAGG
rnacentral:rRNA from 1 species